UUUGGUAAGCAGAACUGGCGCUGCGGGGUGAACCGAAAGCCUGCUUAAGGCGCCCGAUGCCGAAGCUCUUCAGACCCCAGAAAAGGUGUUGGUUUAUAGCGACAGCAGGACAGGGGUCAUGGAAGUCGGAAUCCCCUAAGGAGUGUGUAACAACUCACCUACUAAAUCAACUACCCUGAAAACAGAUGGCGCCGGUGCCACGGGCCCAUACCCGGCUGUAG
rnacentral:ncRNA from 1 species